rnacentral:rRNA from 1 species
CGGCGACCGGCGCACGGGUGAGUAACGCGUAUCCAACCUUCCGUACACUCAGGGAUAGCCUUUCGAAAGAAAGAUUAAUACCUGAUGGUAUGAUGAGAUUGCAUGAUAGCAUCAUUAAAGAUUUAUCGGUGUACGAUGGGGAUGCGUUCCAUUAGGUAGUAGGCGGGGUAACGGCCCACCUAGCCAACGAUGGAUAGGGGUUCUGAGAGGAAGGUCCCCCACAUUGGAACUGAGACACGGUCCAAACUCCUACGGGAGGCAGCAGUGAGGAAUAUUGGUCAAUGGACGAGAGUCUGAACCAGCCAAGUAGCGUGAAGGAUGAAGGUCCUACGGAUUGUAAACUUCUUUUAUAAGGGAAUAAACCCUCCCACGUGUGGGAGCUUGUAUGUACCUUAUGAAUAAGCAUCGGCUAACUCCGUGCCAGCAGCCGCGGUAAUACGGAGGAUGCGAGCGUUAUCCGGAUUUAUUGGGUUUAAAGGGAGCGCAGACGGGUCGUUAAGUCAGCUGUGAAAGUUUGGGGCUCAACCUUAAAAUUGCAGUUGAUACUGGCGUCCUUGAGUGCGGUUGAGGUGUGCGGAAUUCGUGGUGUAGCGGUGAAAUGCUUAGAUAUCACGAAGAACUCCGAUUGCGAAGGCAGC